rnacentral:misc_RNA from 1 species
CAACCCUCAGAGCCCGCCUGCUUGUUCAGGCGCGGCGCUGGUGUUGGGGAUCGGCCUAACCGCCGUCCCCCAAAUACAGUGGCGGUCUCGCUGCAGCCUCCCCUGCGUAGUAGCAACACUCGCAUGCGGAGCGCGGCGCGGCCACGCCGUAAAACCCCCGACUUUCUGAA